rnacentral:rRNA from 1 species
GACGAACGCUGGCGGCGUGCUUAACGCAUGCAAGUCGAACGGAAAGGCUCCAGCUUGCUGGCGUACUCGAGUGGCGAACGGGUGAGUAACACGUGGGUAAUCUGCCCUGCACUCUGGGAUAAGCCUGGGAAACUGGGUCUAAUACUGGAUAUGACCUUUCUCCUUAUGGGGUUUGGUGGAAAGUUUUUCGGUGUAGGAUGAGCCCGCGGCCUAUCAGCUUGUUGGUGGGGUGAUGGCCUACCAAGGCGACGACGGGUAGCCGGCCUGAGAGGGUGAUCGGCCACAUUGGGACUGAGGUACGGCCCAGACUCCUACGGGAGGCAGCAGUGGGGAAUAUUGCACAAUGGGCGGAAGCCUGAUGCAGCGACGCCGCGUGAGGGAUGACGGCCUUCGGGUUGUAAACCUCUUUCAGCAGGGACGAAGCGUAAGUGACGGUACCUGCAGAAGAAGCACCGGCUAACUAUGUG